AAAACCUUGGAUAUGGUGAGGGCAGGACUCCAUUGAUCCUUCAGUAUGUCCAAACAAAUAUUUCCAUUAUUGUUUAUAUUUGGAUGAAAAACUCUGGUCCUGAAAGCCACCUUGGGAGGUUUGAAAGGGUAAUCAGGAGGAAAAUGGAUGGUGACUUGGAAAACACCACCAGCAUAAGGGCUAUCAUUUGGACCAAUAAUAGUUGCUUGCCAAUGAAACAUA
rnacentral:misc_RNA from 1 species